CCUACGGGGGGCAGCAGUGGGGAAUAUUGGACAAUGGGGGAAACCCUGAUCCAGCCAUGCCGCGUGUGUGAAGAAGGCCUUAGGGUUGUAAAGCACUUUAAGCGAGGAGGAAGGGCUCUAGGUUAAUACCUUGGAGCAUUGACGUUACUCGCAGAAUAAGCACCGGCUAACUCUGUGCCAGCAGCCGCGGUAAUACAGAGGGUGCGAGCGUUAAUCGGAAUUACUGGGCGUAAAGCGCGCGUAGGCGGUUGUGUAAGUUGGAGGUGAAAUCCCCGGGCUUAACCUGGGCACUGCCUUCAAAACUGCACGGCUAGAGUAUGGGAGAGGAAGGUAGAAUUCCAGGUGUAGCGGUGAAAUGCGUAGAGAUCUGGAGGAAUACCGAUGGCGAAGGCAGCCUUCUGGCCUAAUACUGACGCUGAGGUGCGAAAGCAUGGGGAGCAAACAGGAUUAGAUACCCCAGUAGUC
rnacentral:rRNA from 1 species